rnacentral:rRNA from 1 species
ACUGGGCGUAAGCGCAGCGCAGGCGGUUUCUUAAGUCUGAUGUGAAAUCCCCGGGCUCAACCUGGGAAUUGCAUUGGAAACUGGGAGCUUGAGUGCGGAAGAGGAGGGUGGAAUUCCAUGUGUAGCGGUGAAAUGCGUAGAUAUGUGGAGGAACACCGGUGGCGAAGGCGGCCCCCUGGACUGAAACUGACGCUCAGGCGCGAAAGCGUGGGGAGCAAACAGGAUUAGAUA